GACAGACACUUGGUCGUCUCAGACAGCCUCCUGGGAAAUAGAAGUCAUCUUACAUCGCUUCAGGUGAACAAAACUGGAAAAGGCAUCUUCCUCUCUUCUGAGUUCCCAAACUAGAGGCUUUGUAAGUCCAACCUGAGUUUGGAAGAUUUAUUUUAAAGAAAUAUAACAGAAAGAUUGUUGGGGAAAUGAAGAAGGUACCCUUACGUUCCCAAGAAAUGCCACUUGAAAGAAAACCAUGUGUCUUCCCUUGCUUCCGGCAGCUUCACGGGCUACUUAAUCUCAUACCCCUCAGUGACAUGCUGGACGUUAUCUAGUGACUGCACAGAGGACGCCAGGAGCAAACGCUCCCGGUACCUGCACUUCUCCCUCGCUGGUGCCAACAGCCAGGCAUGAUCCCUCUCUCAUCCAGGUCACAGACGACACAUAAUGACAACAGACGCUUAAGUCUAUAUUUUCAAUCCAACUGUGGUUUUGCCCAUUCCAGAUGUAUACAGAGGUUCCGAGGGCUACAGCAACGAGAUUUUGAGAACUCCAGUCCAGGGUAUUGAGAUCUAUGAGAAAACAAACCGAAAUCAGCAUGGUUGUACAGCCAAAUGGAAAUAUUUUCAAAUUAGCAGCUUUAAAAUAAAGGGAGAAAGAUUAAUACCUUAGCUGUGAACUGAUAUCAAAUGAAGUCCUGAACCAGAUGAGAUCAUUGAAAGUUCAAAGAUUAAAAACUGAAACAGACUCUUGUUCAAGACUCAUAGUCUAAUGAGCAAUGUUAAGCAUCUAUGCUCAAAAACCUCUGUAAGAAUAUCUUUUUUGGACUUAGUGUGUUCAUCCACCAUGGUGGAUACAGAGGUAUCUCAUCUAAUAGGGCUCUAAAAAUUAAUGCCACAUAAUUUUUAUAAAAAUAUAGGCCUGCUAUAUCUAUAUGGGAAAUACUACCAUCAUUUCUACUAAAAAACAAGGAAAAAAAGUUAAGUGUUAAAGCAAUUUUAUAAGUAGCAAUUUCUUGUUUAUACCAGCCAGCUUCCAAAUAAAUGAUACAAACUAUAAGGCC
rnacentral:lncRNA from 1 species